UACGAAGGGGGCUAGCGUUGCUCGGAAUCACUGGGCGUAAAGCGCACGUAGGCGGCUUUCUAAGUCAGGGGUGAAAUCCUGGAGCUCAACUCCAGAACUGCCUUUGAUACUGAAGAUCUUGAGUUCGGGAGAGGUGAGUAGAACUGCGAGUGUAGAGGUGAAAUUCGUAGAUAUUCGCAAGAACACCAGUGGCGAAGGCGGCUCACUGGCCCGAUACUGACGCUGAGGCACGAAAGCGUGGGGAGCAAACAGG
rnacentral:rRNA from 1 species